rnacentral:misc_RNA from 1 species
UUAAGUUCAGCGGGUAUUCCUACCUGAUCCGAGGUCAACCUGAAAAAAGUUUUUGGAGGUGACCGGGUCCCGGGGCCCUUGAAACUCUUACGCGUGCUCCGGAAAGCUCAGUGCGAAGAGGGUCCCUGGGACGCCGUCAUUGUCUUUGAGACCAGUUGGCCGGGGAACGGCCAACGCGGUCCAACACCAAACCCGGAGGU